CGGUGGCGGUGGAUACCAAGGAGGAGAUCGUGGAGGUAGUGGUGGAUACCAAGGAGGAGAUCGCGGAGGUCGCGGCGGCGGUCGUGGUGGAGGAAGUGGUAAGGAAGGUGAUUGGCGUUGCCCUAACCCAAGUUGUGGAAAUUUGAACUUUGCUAGAAGAGUUGAAUGUAACAAAUGUGGUGCACCUUCACCUGCUGGUUCUGAUGAUCGUGGUGGCAGAGGUGGUAGCAGUUAUAACAGAGGUGGAAGUGAUGGCGGCUAUGGAAAUAGUCGAGGGGGAAGAGGUGACAACUAUGAAAGCAGAAAUGCUGGAGGUGGUAGAACUGGUUCUUAUGGUGGUAGUCAGGGAAGAGAUGGUGGUGGUUAUGCCCAAGGUCCUCCUCAUGCUCCUCCAUCUUAUGGGGCUGCUGAUAGCAACUAUCCACCACCUUCUAAUACUUACGGUGGAAACCCCGAUGCAGUUCCCCCGCCUGCGAGUUAUGUUGGUGGACCUGCAUCUUAUCCCCCUUCGUAUGGUGCCCCUGGUGGCUAUGGUGGGGAUACACCAGCUGAUGCUCGUGGGGGUGGACGGGGUGGUCCACCAGGUGGAUAUGAUGGGGGAUAUGGCGGUGGUGCCCGGAAUACAGGAGGUGGUUAUGGUAGUUCUCCAGCUGAGGCUCCGGUAAAGGUCAAGCAAUGCGAUGAGAAUUGUGGAGAUCUCUGUGACAACGCAAGAAUAUAUAUCUCAAAUUUGCCUCCUGAUGUGACCGUCGAAGAACUUAGAGAACUUUUUGGGAGCAUUGGACAAGUUGCAAGAAUCAAGCAAAAACGAGGUUACAAAGACCAGUGGCCUUGGAGCAUAAAGCUAUACACAGACGAUCAAGGAAAUAACAAAGGAGAUGCAGUUCUGU
rnacentral:misc_RNA from 1 species